rnacentral:rRNA from 1 species
UACUCCUACGGGGAGCAGCAGUGGGGAAUAUUGCACAAUGGGCGCAAGCCUGAUGCAGCGACGCCGCGUGAGGGAUGACGGCCUUCGGGUUGUAAACCUCUUUCAGUACCGACGAAGCGCAAGUGACGGUAGGUACAGAAGAAGCACCGGCCAACUACGUGCCAGCAGCCGCGGUAAUACGUAGGGUGCGAGCGUUGUCCGGAAUUACUGGGCGUAAAGAGCUCGUAGGCGGUUUGUCGCGUCGUCUGUGAAAACCCGCAGCUCAACUGCGGGCUUGCAGGCGAUACGGGCAGACUUGAGUACUGCAGGGGAGACUGGAAUUCCUGGUGUAGCGGUGAAAUGCGCAGAUAUCAGGAGGAACACCGGUGGCGAAGGCGGGUCUCUGGGCAGUAACUGACGCUGAGGAGCGAAAGCGUGGGUAGCGAACAGGAUUAGAUACCCUGGUAGUCCACGCCGUAAACGGUGGGCGCUAGGUGUGGGUUUCCUUCCACGGGAUCCGUGCCGUAGCUAACGCAUAAGCGCCCCGC